CAAGUGCACCUUUGUCUUUUCAGACAAAGGAGUCUGAAAAGAGGAAUGUAGCCCUUGGGUCAGUGAUAGCAUGAUAUUUACAAUGAUAAUGAUGAACAGGGUGAACACGAUAACCAUCGUAAAAUCCUCUGUUUACAGAUGAGAAAACCUUGCCACCCUCAGUAGGGUUGAAUGUCAGUUCUAAGAAGCAAAAUGAGACCCUAAAAAAUAUGAUUUAAUUGUCAGAAAGUAGGAAGAUGAGGAACAGAUUGGGAAAUGGGAGUCCUAUUUGGGUCAUGGCCAAGCCUUGAACACUUUAGGGGUAUCAGAAGCCAACCUGGGGGUGGGGUUGGCUCUGGGAAAGGGCUAGUUUUGGUGGCCUGAGGCCCAACAGGAUUGUCCUUCCAGUAGUUUCUAUUCUUCAUUAUCUAGCACUUCAUGGCCCCUACCCUGCUUCGCACUCCCCUAGUGAAUUUAAAUAGAUACCCUCAAAACUGUAAAAUUAGGGCUGGUUCUCCCUCCCUUUUGUCUACUCACCUUCAAGAAUUUAAUGAGCUUGUCUAGGGUAAAAUGUAUUAUUCAAGCCCAAUGCUGGUGGUAUCACUGAGGAAGUAAAUCCUAAACUAAUAGAAGUUGAGUGUAAUGUAAAAUAGCAAUUGAUCUGUCGCAGUAAGAAAAAUUAACAAACUGCUGUUCAAAUAUUUAUUAGCAGGAGAAACUGGACAGAUAUCCUUAUUCUUUAACUGGAGGCAAUUGAAACUCAGGGAAUUGUCUUGUCCUAAAUGGGAGAGUUAGCUCAGAAAUAAUUACAGGGUCUGAGAGGACCAGAUCCAUCCCUAGGGGUUGGGGAGGGGUGAGACCUGUGGUCCCCUAGGCAGGUCAGAAUAGGGGACAAUGUCUCCAGAUGCUUCUUCUCCCCUCCCCCCUCAAUAAAAUCAGAUUAUGGAUGUUCAUCCUGAAGUGACUGUCAUCAGCUCACCUCUGUGACACAUGUAGGGGGAGUUCUGGCUCCUCCCCCGUCUAGGAGCUCAGUCCUAAACCUCAGCCUUGACCUCCCUACCAUUCUCCUGCCUCUAUGUUCCUUUCAUUCACCCACUUUCUGACAGCCUUGGCAGUUAGUGACUAUUUUGGAUUUUUCCCUACAAAUGCUCAGCCUCUCCCAUAGGCAUCACCAACCACCUGUCCUCUUCCAUCAUUGACCUACAUAAAGAUGACUGUAAAGUCUGGCAUCUGGAAGAAAAGACUAGUUUUCUUUCCAACUAAGGGAAAUUGCCUCCAAAGACAGCCAUUGUGAAAAUUAAUAAAGGGAAAUCUUGUUUAAAAUGGAAUCAGGAGGGGCACCUGGCCGGCUCAGUCAGUAGAACAUGUGACUCUGAUCUUAGGGUUGUGAGUUUAAGCCCCACCUUGGGCCUGGAGCCUACAUAAAACAAAACAAAACAAAACAAAGCAAAACUAACUAACUAACUAACUACUAACUAACUAACUAACUAAAUAAAAUGAAAUCAGGAGACCUGGACAGGGAGCUCUUGUGCCCUCUCACCUGUGGUCAAUUGCAGACUCAACAGGAAGAGAUAGGCUUUGCACCUGGAUACUACUUCCCUAUCCACUCUCUGGCUUUCCUCUUCCCUCUGCAACAGCCCAGCCAAUGAGAGACAGUCACAGCUCAGCCAAUGAGAAGCCACUAUACUUGGAACUCCAGUUUACCCCAAUGGACUUUUUGUUUAUAACAGCCCCUUUUCUCUAUAAAAGAGCAUUCUUCUUCUUUAGUCUGUGGAUUUGCCCAUGGUUUCGUCAUAGUUUGCUUUUCUCGGGUUGCAAUUCUCUGCUAUUCCAGAAACAACAACCAAACCGCAUUUGUUGUUGUUGUUGGUAAAAUAAUUGGAAGCUUUAUUUAAAAAAAUUUUUAACAUUUAUUCAUUUUUGAGAGAUAGAUAAAUACUACAUCUUUUUUCAAAAAAAUGUUUAUUUAUUUUGGAGGGAGAGAGGGUCAGGGAGACAGAGUGUGAGCAGGGGAGGGACAGAGGGAGAGGGAGACACAGAAUCUUGAGCAGGCUCCAGGCUCAGAGCGGUCAGCACAGAGCCGGAUGCCGGGUUCACAGCAAGAACAUGACCUGAAGCCCAAGUCGGAUGCCUUAACCUACCCAGCCACCCAGGAGCCCCAUUGGCAGCUUUAUUUUUAAGGUUAACACCACCAACAAUGCUUCCCAUUUCUGAAUGCCCAUGCUGCUGUUCCUUUCUGAGGUGGUGUCGUUAUUGAGCAAGAAGUCCAACUUACUCUCAGGAGAGUAAGGCCCAGCCAGUCCCCAGUGGUUCCAGCCCCAGAUGAGCUCCCAGUUGAAUUUACCAGUGACCCAGCAAACAUCCUGUGGAAGAACUGCCUAGCUGCAUCUGGCCAUCCCUUGGAACGAUCAUCCUGGAUCUUCUGGGUGAGCCCCAAAUCCAAAGAAUGAGAAGUGUCCUAAUAAGAAACAGAUGAGGGGCAUCUGGCUGGCUCAGUUGGUAGAGCAUGCGACUCUUGAACUUGUAAAUUGGAGCCCAUGUUGGGUGUAGAGUUUACUUAAAAUCUUGAAAAGAAAAGAAAAGAAACAGAAGAAGAGAAAACAGAGAGAAGAAAGCAAAGAGACAGAGGUGGAGCCAGAGGAUGGAAUGAUGUGGCCACAGGUCAAGGGAUGCCCCGGGGCCACAGGAUCUGAAAGAAGCAGGGAAGGAUCCUCUCCUAGAGCUUUCCGAGGGAGCCAGGCCCUGAUGUCACCUUGAUCUCAGACUUCCGGCCUCCAGAAAGGUCACCCACUGAAAACUUAAGGAAUGAAGAGAAACUUUGUUUUGUUCCAUCAGAAAUCUAGGCGAGAAUAAUUUCAAACCAUGCUGACAAUGGAGUCAUCAAAUUGCUGUUAAGAUUUCCUUUUCUGCAUAAAUCUACCAGAAUCAGUUUCCAUUGCUUGCAUUUGUGAAUCCCAACUGGUGGAGGUUUCCUUGGAACCCAAGUGUGGAGCACAUCCAGGCCUCACCAGGAACCAGAAAAACAGCCCUCGCCAUGCUACUUGGCUCAGAGUGACCAUCAAUAAUUGUUGCUAUUGGGGCACGUGGGUGGCUCAGUCGGUUAAGUGUCCUACUUCGACUCAGAUCGUGAUCUCGUGGUCUGUGAGUUUGAGCCUGGCAUCAGGCUCUGUGCUGACAGCUCAGAGCCUGGAGCCUGCUUCAGAUUCUGGGUCUCCUUCUCUCUCUGCCCCUCCCCCACUCAUGCUCUGUCUCUCUCUAUCAAAAAUAAAUAAACAUUACAAAUUAAAAAAAAUAAUUGUUACUAUUGUUAUCUUCAGCAGCAGCAUUUUAUCAUCAUCAUGAUUCAGGGCCUUGCAGAGAGUAA